GCCGGAGUGGUGAAAUUGGUAGACGCGCCGGAUUCAAAAUCCGGUUCUGGCAACAGAGUGCCGGUUCGAGUCCGGGCCUCCGGCACCA
rnacentral:tRNA from 1 species